rnacentral:lncRNA from 10 species
GGAUUCCUGGGCAAGAUGGCCAAAUAGGAACAGCUCUGGUCUGCAGCUCCCAGUGCGACCAAUGCAGAAGGCUGGUGAUUUCUGCAUUUCCAACUGAGGAGAGAAGGCACCAAGGAUGGGCUGGAGAGGAAGGUGACCUUUCCAGGCAGGCAGCUACUUGGGAGGCUGAAGCAGGAGAAUCACUUAACCCUGGGAGAUGAAGGUUGCUGGGAGCUGAGAUCACGCCACUGCACUCCAGCCUGGACAACAGAGUGAGACUCCAUCUCAAAGAAAAAAAUAAAACAAACAAGCAAACAAACAAAAAAACCUUUCCCUCCCCUGUAAUUUUAACCAGGGCAUGCCCUUCUCAUAAUGUUUGAUGAAGUUACUGUAAUGACUUUUGUUGAUGUACUUUAUACAUUAUACAAAUUCAUUUAUUUUAUUCAAAUGGUUGAGUUGGCUAUUACUAGGUAUACGUGGAAAGAGAAAUUUGGUGUAGAUAUGCCAGGUAAAUGUUUCAAAGUGACAGAAUUUGAGAAGUACAGUUUGGGGUACCUUGGAAGUGAUAGGGCUGAAGGGUUAACAUUGUAUGUCAUUCAUUCACCAUGGGAUAAGAGUGACAGCAUCAGAGAAUGUAUUCUCUUUGAUUUUUUCCCAGCAUUAAUCAUGACCAUCUGUCAGCUGCAAGAGAGGCCUCACGACAUUAUGGAAUAAGAAUAGGAUUUGGAAUAAUAAAUAUAAUAGCUACAAUUUAUUAGGCUAUUGCUUCCAAGCUGUGGCUGUACUCAGUUCUUUACAUGUAUAUUUCAAUUCCCUCCUCUGAUGGAGGCAUCAUAAUCAAUCAUUCUUAUAGAUUAGUUAGGUAGGCAAAUCACACAUGGCCACACAGCCAGGAGAUGGCAGAGUUACUGGAUGUGGGCUCACGUUUCUCUGUCUCCAGGGCCCAUACUCCCGUACUGUCAUUUUGGGGGUCCAGAAAGUUCGUUCUCUGAGUAAUAGGAAAAUUAAUAAUCAUAUUGUCAAUAAUCAAAACAAGGCUUGUGUGGAUUAGUAAAGACCAAAAUAUGUUGAGGAAUAAAGGGUUUGCAUUUGUUGCCACUGUGACUACAGGUCUUCCAUGCAUCUUACUGUGGUUUUCUUGGUGCUUCUUACCCUAGCAUUAGUAACCAUAUCAUUCUCUAUCCUGCUAACCCAUGGGAUUCAGUCCCACUCAACUCCAGAUAGACCCCUCCCAGGAGGGUUUAGAUACUGAUAUAAGAGGACACCCAAACAUAAAGCCCUUCAACCUGGUCUUCUAAUAAGUUUCUCCAACACCAUAAUCUAGUCACAGCUGUGUAUGUUGUAUACCUGGAAGAGUCUAGCACCAUGGGCGAGGGCCUUUGGAGACUAAACUGCUCUGGUCCCACUUAAAAAAAUAAAUUAGCGGACUUUAUUUUUAAAAGUAGUUUUAGGUUUGCGAAGAAUUGAGUAAAGGAUAUGGAGAGUUCCCAUAUUACACCCCCAGUUUCCCCUGUUACUAUCUACUUGAAUUAGCAUGCUACAUUUGUUACAAUUGAUGAACCAACAAUGGUAUAUUAUUAUUAACUAAAGCCUAUAGUUUACAUUAGGGCUCAUUAUUUGUUUUGUACAGUUCAAUGGAUUUUAGUAAAUAUAUAAUGACAAGUGUUCACCAUUAGAGUAUCAUACGGAAUAGUGAAACUAAAAAUCCCCUGUGCUCCACCUUUUCAUCUCCCUGGCAACCCCUGAUCUUUUUACUGUUUCCAUAGUUUUGUCUCUUCCAGAAUGUCAUAUAGUUGGAAUUACACAGACUACCUUUCAGACUAGCUUCUUUGAUUUAGAAAUAUGCAUUUAGGGUUGCUCUAUGUCUUUUCAUGGCUUUUUAUCACUGAAUAAUAUUCCAUUUUCUGAAUGUACCACAGUUUAUCCAUUCAUCCUCUGAAGGACAUCUUACUUGAUCUAAUUUUUGGCAAUUAUGAAUAAACUUGCUAUAAACAUUUGUGUGUAGGUUU